GCCGGUUUAGCUCAGCGGUAGAGCGUCUGCCUUGUAAGCAGGGGGUCGGGGGUUCAAGUCCCUCAACCGGCACCA
rnacentral:tRNA from 1 species